GGGUUCAGCAGCACACAGUUUUGUCAGCAGGAUUACAACGUGAGGGGGGGAAUUUUACCAACUUACCAUUUUUUGAUAAGAAAAUGUAAAGAGGCAAAUAAUUACAUCUGUAAGACAAUGCAGUAACAUAAAGAAGUCCCAAGAGAUAAGAAGGAAAGCAAAACAGAGACAGAGAUCAUCGUGCUUUGAAAAUAUUUGUACAAAGGUGAAGCUACCCAGACACUUGUGAGCAGGUGGCUAGCUGGGAACCAUCACUGCAUGCUGUGCCAAUACCCAGUGCUCUGCUCCUGAG